AGUAGUUUGACUCCGUGGCUACGAGGACGAACGCUGGCGGCGUGCCUAACACAUGCAAGUCGAGCGGGGUCCAUCCGGUAGCAAUACCGGGGAAGACCUAGCGGCGAACGGGUGAGUAACACGUGAGAAACCUGCCCCGAAGUCUGGGAUAACCCGAGGAAACUCGAGCUAAUACCGGAUGUCUUCUUCUGAUCGCAUGGUCGGAUGAAGAAAGAUUUAUCGCUUCGGGAGGGUCUCGCGGCCUAUCAGCUAGUUGCGGGGUAACGGCCCACCAAGGCGUCGACGGGUAGCUGGUCUGAGAGGACGAUCAGCCACACUGGGACUGAGACACGGCCCAGACUCCUACGGGAGGCAGCAGUGGGGAAUAUUGCGCAAUGGGCGAAAGCCUGACGCAGCAACGCCGCGUGCGGGAUGAAGGCCUUCGGGUUGUAAACCGCUUUCAGUGGGGACGAAUUCAGACGGUACCCACAGAAGAAGCCCCGGCCAACUACGUG
rnacentral:rRNA from 1 species